AACGAACGCUGGCGGCAUGCCUAACACAUGCAAGUCGAACGAGACCUUCGGGUCUAGUGGCGCACGGGUGCGUAACGCGUGGGAAUCUGCCCUUGGGUUCGGAAUAACAGCGAGAAAUUGCUGCUAAUACCGGAUGAUGACGUAAGUCCAAAGAUUUAUCGCCCAAGGAUGAGCCCGCGUAGGAUUAGCUAGUUGGUGAGGUAAAGGCUCACCAAGGCGACGAUCCUUAGCUGGUCUGAGAGGAUGAUCAGCCACACUGGGACUGAGACACGGCCCAGACUCCUACGGGAGGCAGCAGUGGGGAAUAUUGGACAAUGGGCGAAAGCCUGAUCCAGCAAUGCCGCGUGAGCGAUGAAGGCCUUAGGGUUGUAAAGCUCUUUCGUGGGGGGAAGAUAAUGACGGUACCCCAAGAAGAAGCCCC
rnacentral:rRNA from 1 species